UACAGAGGGGGCGAGCGUUAUUCGGAAUUAUUGGGCGUAAAGGGCGCGUAGGCGGCUUUGCAAGUGACGGGUGAAAGCCCUCGGCUUAACCGAGGAACUGCCUGUCAGACUGUGAGGCUUGAGACCGGGAGAGGUGAGUGGAAUUCCCAGUGUAGCGGUGAAAUGCGUAGAUAUUGGGAGGAACACCAGUGGCGAAGGCGGCUCACUGGACCGGAACUGACGCUGAGGAGCGAAAGCGUGGGGAGCGAACAGG
rnacentral:rRNA from 1 species